rfam:Salmo salar isolate Sally breed double haploid chromosome ssa25, whole genome shotgun sequence.
GGUAACUCUAACUGUAAGUCGCUCUGGAUAAGAGCAUUUGCUAAAUGACUACGA